rnacentral:rRNA from 1 species
UACGUAGGGUGCAAGCGUUAAUCGGAAUUACUGGGCGUAAAGCGUGCGCAGGCGGUUUUGUAAGUUUGUCGUGAAAUCCCCGGGCUCAACCUGGGAAUGGCGAUGAAGACUGCAAGGCUAGAAUCUGGCAGAGGGGGGUAGAAUUCCACGUGUAGCAGUGAAAUGCGUAGAGAUGUGGAGGAACACCGAUGGCGAAGGCAGCCCCCUGGGUCAAGAUUGACGCUCAUGCACGAAAGCGUGGGGAGCAAACGAAGG